GAAAUCAGCCAGCCAAUGGUGGCUACGGUGAUGAGCAGUAGUCAGAUGCAUUUCCUAAGGGCAGUGACCAGGAGGAAUCCUCUUAUUGGAAAAUAUUGCAAAUUUGGCUUCCCAUGUUGCUGUCACCAGGGGAAAUAUUUGCAAACUUCCCUGAGCAAAGAGAGGAAUAGAGAGGCUACAGGACUUAUCCAUGAUAACACUGUGAAUUGGUAGAAGAACUGGGAAAGGAACAGAACCCAGAGGAAUCUAGUUUUAGCCUCAUACUCUAACCAUAAUACCUGUUUGACACAUUUCUCAGGUCAAAUGAUAAUACAGUGCCU